rnacentral:rRNA from 1 species
AUUGAACGCUGGCGGCAGGCUUAACACAUGCAAGUCGAGCGGGCGAGGUUGCUUCGGUAACUGAGCUAGCGGCGGACGGGUGAGUAAAGCUUAGGAAUCUGCCUAUUAGUGGGGGACAACAUUCCGGAAGGGAUGCUAAUACCGCAUACGUUCUACGGGAGAAAGCAGGGGAUCACUUGUGACCUUGCGCUAAUAGAUGAGCCUAAGUCGGAUUAGCUAGUUGGUGGGGUAAAGGCCUACCAAGGCGACGAUCUGUAGCGGGUCUGAGAGGAUGAUCCGCCACACUGGGACUGAGACACGGCCCAGACUCCUACGGGAGGCAGCAGUGGGGAAUAUUGGACAAUGGGGGGAACCCUGAUCCAGCCAUGCCGCGUGUGUGAAGAAGGCCUUUUGGUUGUAAAGCACUUUAAGCGAGGAGGAGGCUUACCUGGUUAAUACCUGGGAUAAGUGGACGUUACUCGCAGAAUAAGCACCGGCUAACUCUGUGCCAGCAGCCGCGGUAACAC